rnacentral:misc_RNA from 1 species
UUCUCCUCAUGGUGGACGCUC